CCUCCUAUAUAAUGCAUAGUCAAUCACCUCCCAGUGCACCCAUCCAACCUUCUACCAAUCCACAACUCCAACUUGGAAAAGAUGGACAGAAGGAGACAAUCACCAACUUCACCACACACCAAUCUUGUGCCGCCCUCAGCCUCUGUGGAUAUCAUCGCCUCAUCUGCAACAGUAAGACAUCUUCACCACUCCUUUUACAACACAUUCUCAAAUCAUUUCAGUUUCAGAUACUAAUCCCAGUACCUCUCCUCCAGGAUACUGAUAAGAAUCAUUCACUCCACCAAUCUCCUGCCAACGUCAUUCUCUAAGGAUAUCCUCUCCUCCUCUGCACCAGACUGGGUUUCCUGAGGGAGACUUAAGAUUGUUCUACUCACACAAGUGAUAUUGGACUCUAAAGUACUGUCGUCCAUUCUCUGCGUCUGUUCUGAGAAUUCUCCUUAAGAACCUCCACACCGCUUCUCUGACCAUCCUCCUGCCUGUACAUCCUCCAUAGUUAGUUUUAGCAAUCAAAAACUCAAGAAGGACAAAGGACCAAGUUUCCGUAGGCAGAUGCCAGAUUGUUGUCCUCACACAUGAGUCUGUUUGAAGAACUCUCCCUAAGACUCUCCACACCACUCCUCUGGCCACCCUCCUGGCACAAGGGCUCAUCUGUAACUCAUUGGUCACUCACCUCCUGGUGCACUCUUCAUCGUCCCAACCUCCACCUUCAAGAGAAGGACAGAAGGAGACAAUAACUACUUCAACCAAUCACCAAUCUGCUGCCAACCUCAGCCUCUGCUGAUGAGUUCACCACCUCUGCACCAGUAAGAAAUCAUCUCCAUUCCUUUUACAACAAAUUCUAGACCCAUUUCAGUUUCAGACAGUAACACAUUAACCUCUCCUCUAGUGCCGUCCUGGAUUCUUGAUCUAAAACAAGAAGAAUCAUCUCAGUGUGCAGAUUUACCAAUAAACCUUUCAAACUUUCCUUUGGUUUCCGUGAUUAUUACCUGCAGGAGAUUUUCAUUUUGUCAGAAACAUGACAUAAGCGGGUCGAGAAGAUGGAUGGAUGGAUGGCC